rnacentral:lncRNA from 1 species
GUUAUUUCCAAUUUACAGAUGAAGUAAGUAACUUAACUGAAGUCUUGGCCAGUAAAUUGUGAAGCAGAGCUUCAACCCUUGAACACUGACUGUAAAAAUUAUACUUUGAACUGCUUGACUCUCAUUCUUGUCUGUAACCAGCUUCCUAAAUGGCUGAAGUGACUGGUGAAACGAGGAGAUUUUUACCUUAAAAUCUGAGCAUUCACUUUGAAUCUAAGCAUUCCCUUUAUCUUAAAAAACCAAGCAUUCCUUUUAUCUUAAAAUUUUAUACCUCCAUGAUUAAAAUAUGACAUCCAAAAUACUAAAAUUAAACGAAGAAGCAUCUCUACUAUGAAUAAGAUAUAUUAUCUACAAAUAGUUGGUAACUUGGAAGCACAGAGUGACUGGCAUACAAUCUGAACAUAUGUGCUAUUGGACAGAGAAGAUCUCAUAAAAAUGACUAUUUCUGACAUAAACAAGGAUGGCAGCGACGAGACUCAGACUUGCGGAAUGUAGCUAAAGGCUCCAAAGUUGUAGGGGAGUAGUGGAAAAAGGAAGGACAGACCAAAAGAGAAUCCAUCAAUAGCAGCUCUUCAGAGUUUGAUAGCCUGGGUCGGAGGAUACACACCACCUGUUUUGCAUACUUAUCCAAGGCCUGUCUUUCUAAUUCAAGCUUCCAUUUUAUUUUCCCCAAUAUCAUCCACAACAGUAUUUGUGAGUUUAAUGAAAUGCUGAAGGACUAUAUUCUUUAGAGCAAUGGCCCUGAGAGAUUUGUAUUAUCAUCACCAAGAAUCACUUUUAGCCUAAGGAUUUUAGAAACAGAACCAAAAUUAUCCACUGCUUUGGGUUGGACUGGUAUCAUCUUUUUAAAGAGUACCUUGCAAUUCUGUACUUUAAGACUUUCCUUAUUCAUUGCAUUCUUUCAAUUUUUAUUUUCCUUUCUAUUUUUUUUCCUUUCUCUGAUUUACUUAUUCUCUCAUCUUUAAAUCUUUCUUUCCCUGAGCCUCAGCUGAUAGGAGUUUCAGGAAUCGGAGCUAUCUAUCAGUUGAACUCUUCACCGAUGACAACAGUAAUGACAAGAGCACCUGGAAGUCCUGUUCUCCAAGAAGAGAUCAGGACACAAGCACACACAGAAAGAAGAUCAAGUGAAGACACAGGGAGGGGAAAAUGGCGCCUAUAAGCUGAGGAGAGGGGACGUAGAAGAAACAACCCUAAGGAUACCUUACUCUUGGACUUCUUGUCUCCAGAUUUGUGAUGACAUACAUUUUUGUUGUUUCAGGCACCUGAUUUGUGGUACUUUAUUAUAGCAUCCCUAGCAAACUAAUGAAAUUUCUAUUGCUAAACCUAUGGAUAUUUGCUUUGAAAUGUUGCAGCAGUUUGCAAACCUGAAGAUUUCCUACCUUCUUUAAAGUAACAACUAUAUACUGUUUAUGUUCUUAGAAUCUUGGUUCUUAAAAAUAACAGUGCAGUGUCAAAAGAAUGUUUUAUAUGUUCAUUUUCUCUGACACUAAAAAUCAUAUUUUAUUCUUGUUAGCAUACCAUAAAAAUUCACACACUGCUGAUAUUUAUAUUGAAAUUGCACUGAAUCUAUAGAAGAAACUGGGUAGAAUAAACAUCAUUAGAAUAUUGAUACUUCCUAUCAGUGAGAUUGUCUCCCUUUAUUUAGGUUUAUUUUAAUAUCUGCAUAUUAGUUUUACAAAUUUCCCCUUAAAGGGCUUUUGUAGGAUCUAUACAUAGAUAACUGUUGAUUCUCUGAACUACAUAUCUUGAAUUUUUUUGUCUGUCUCAGGUGUAUACAAUUGCAUUUGAUUUCUCUCGUCAGUUAUAGAUCCAACAAAAUUGUUUAAGUCUCUUUUCAUAAUUUUCCUAUGCUUUUUCUCCUAUACUUUUAUAUAGCCAAUUAUAGAAUGUGUUAAUAUAGCAGAUGCUAUUCCUUUUCAUUUUUAUAACAUUUACAUUCUUUUUUAUUUUAUUUAUUUUUUCAAGAUGGAAUCUUGCUCUGUCACCCAGGCUGGAGUGCAGUGGUGCGAUCUCAACUAACUGCAACCUCCGCCUCUUGGGUUCAAGCAGUUCUCCUGCCUCAGCCUCCUGAGUAGUUGGGAUUACAGGCAUGAACCACCACACCAGCUAAUUUUUGUAUUUUUAGUAGAGGUGGGGUUUUGCCAUGUUGGCCAGGCUGGUCUCAAACUCCUGACCUCACAUGACCUACCCACGUCGGCCUCCCAAAGUGUUGGUGUUACAGGCGUUAGCCGCCGCACCUGCCUUUUUUAUUUUCUUAAGUGCCUUAGUUAGAACCCCAACUAGAAUGUCAAAUAGAAAUGAUAAUGAUAAACAUCUUUGUUUUGUUACAUAUUAAAAAGGAAAUAUUUUUAAAGUUUCAUUAGUAAGCUUUUUAUUUCUUAAGAUAUAGGUUAUACCCUGUAGCAUGUUUUAAGAUUUUAACGUUUUCCCUAGUUUGAAAUCAGAAUUUUCUUCCAUGAUCUUUAAGUUUUCAAUUGACAUAUAAUUACUGUGUAUAUUUAUGGCAUACAGAGUUAUGUUUUGAUACAUACAAAGUACAGUGAUCAGAUCAGGGUAAUUAUUUUUUUUCUCUUCUUUUUUUUUUUUAGUAUACCCAUCAUCUCAAAUUUUUAUCAUUUGUGUGGAAACAUUUAAUAUCUUCUAGCUAUUUAAAGGUAUCUAUUACUGUCAACUACAGUCAUCCUAGGAUGCUAUAAAACACUAGAACUGGUGCCUUCAGGACCUUUUAUUCUUAUUGUAGAACUGAGGGGCAAGAGGUUUAAAGAGAUUACAUGAUUUGCCUGAGUUGAAACCACAAUUUCAAAAGGAUAUUUUCAAAUGCAAAUCAGCCAUUCAUUCUUGGGAUAAACUUCAAUUGGUCUUGAUGUUUUACCUUUUUCACUUAAUGUUGCAUUAUAUUAGCUAUUUUGUAAAAAUUUAUGAACUUAUGUAUAUAUAUACGAUUGGCCUAUCUACCAUAGAGAUGUCAUUUUCUCUUUUCAUUUUGUUUAUUAUAUUCUUCAAUGCAUUACUAGUUUAUAUUUUAUGAUUCAAAGUCUAUCAGUAUAUUCCUUUUUAAAAUCCAUUUGGAUAUAAUGCUUAUAAAAGCUCUCUGAAGUCCAGAAUUAUAAAUUCUACUUUUUUUUCCCAAAUACUUUGGUGGUUUUAUAUUUCUCCUUACCAUUUUUAUCUAUAUCAGGUCUGUAAUUUAGUCUUUGGUGAAACAAAAUUAAUGGAUAACCUCUUUAUUCCCACUGAAGCGCAAUCCAUAUGAUUAUUAACCCUUAUAUAUAGUCAUGUACUACAUAAUGACAUUUUGGUGAACGACAGACUGCAUAUACUACAGUGGUCCUAUAAGACUGUCAUAUCAUAUGUUUACUGUACAUUUUCUAUGUUUAGAUACACAGAUACUUGCCAUUGUGUUGCAAUUGCUUAUGGUAUUCAGUACAGUAACAUGCUGUACAGGUUUGUAGCUUUGGAGCAAUAGGCUAUAUCAUAUAGCCUUGGUGUGCACUAGGCUAUAUCAUCUAGGUUUGUGUAAGUACAGUCUAUGAUCUUCACACAACAAAACUGUCUGCCAACACAUUUCUCAGAAUGCUCUCCUGUUAUUAAGUUAUGCAUGACUGUGUAUACCUGGGUAUAUUAGUUACCUGUUACUGCAUAUAGCAAGUGAUGCAGAAGAAAGCGUGGCAAAAGCCAUAAUGUCUUUCAUGGCCUAACACCAGAAGCCACAUGGUCAUUUCAACAAUAUCCUAUUUUUCACGUGGUCAGCACUAUUCCAAGUGGGAGGAGAAGACACCAGAACAUGAACAAACACCAAGAGACAAGGAGCAUGUGGGGGCCAUCUUGAAGGCUGGCUGCCAUGUUGUAUUAUUAAUGACUAUCCAUUCUUUUCCAUUAAACUGAAUACCCAUUGUGAGUCCAAACAUACAGUAUUUUAUUACUUAAUAAGAUAAUUUCUCUCAAAUUAUUUCUUUGUUGCAUUAUUCAUUUACUUAGUCUUUUAGAUAAAUUUUAGAAUCAUUUUGUCAGUUGUAAAAACUUGGGAAGAAGUUCUUACAUAUAAAAUUCACAUAUUUUAAGUGGGUGAGGAUAUUUAUUGGC